AACGAACGCUGGCGGCAUGCCUAACACAUGCAAGUCGAACGAAGGCCCGGAGCUUGCUCCGGUGUCCUUAGUGGCGGACGGGUGAGUAACGCGUGGGAACCUACCUUGGAGCGGGGAAUAACCAUUGGAAACGAUGGCUAAUACCGCAUACGCACUUCGGUGGAAAGGCUUCGGCCACUCUAAGACGGUCCCGCGUCUGAUUAGCUAGUUGGUAGGGUAAUGGCUUACCAAGGCGACGAUCAGUAGCUGGUCUGAGAGGAUGAUCAGCCACACUGGGACUGAGACACGGCCCAGACUCCUACGGGAGGCAGCAGUAGGGAGUAUUGGACAAUGGGCGCAAGCCUGAUCCAGCAAUGCCGCGUGUGUGAAGAAGGCCUGCGGGUUGUAAAGCACUUUCAAUUGGGAAGAAAGAUUUAGAGUUAAUACCUCUUAAUAUUGACGUUACCAAUAGAAGAAGCACCGGCUAACUCUGUGCCAGCAGCCGCGGUAAUACAGAGGGUGCGAGCGUUAAUCGGAAUUACUGGGCGUAAAGCGCGCGUAGGCGGCCUGAUAAGUUGGAUGUGAAAGCCCUGGGCUCAACCUAGGAACUGCAUUCAAAACUGUCAGGCUAGAGUAUGGUAGAGGAUAGUGGAAUUUCCGGUGUAGCGGUGAAAUGCGUAGAGAUCGGAAGGAACAUCAGUGGCGAAGGCGGCUAUCUGGACCAAUACUGACGCUGAGGUGCGAAAGCGUGGGGAGCAAACAGGAUUAGAUACCCCGGUAGUCCACGCCCUAAACGAUGAACACUAGUCGUCGGGAAGCUUGUCUUCUCGGUGAUGCACUUAACAGAUUAAGUGUUCCGCCUGGGGAGUACGGUCGCAAGAUUAAAACUCAAAGGAAUAGACGGGGACCCGCACAAGUGGUGGAGCAUGUGGUUUAAUUCGAAAAUACGCGAAGAACCUUACCUAGCCUUGACAUUGAUUGAACGGACCAGAGAUGGACCGGUGCCCUUCGGGGAACAUGAAAACAGGUGCUGCACGGCUGUCGUCAGCUCGUGUCGUGAGAUGUUGGGUUAAGUCCCGCAACGAGCGCAACCCUCGUCCUUAGUUGCCAGCAGGUUAUGCUGGGCACUCUAAGGAGACUGCCUUCGCAAGGAGGAGGAAGGUGAGGACGACGUCAAGUCAUCAUGGCCCUUACGGCUAGGGCUACACACGUGCUACAAUGGGGCGUACAGAGUGUUGCGAUACCGCGAGGUGGAGCCAAUCACUUAAAGCGUCUCUCAGUUCGGAUUGGAGUCUGCAACUCGACUCCAUGAAGCUGGAAUCACUAGUAAUCGUAGAUCAGCAAUGCUACGGUGAAUACGUUCCCGGGUCUUGUACUCACCGCCCGUCACACCAUGGGAGUUGAUUUCACCCGAAAUUGGGAAGCUAACCUUCGGGAGGCUACCACUUACGGUGGAAUUAGCGACUGGGGU
rnacentral:rRNA from 1 species